CCCUUAGAUGUCCUGGGCCGCACGCGCGCUACACUGAACGGAUCAGCGCGUUUUCCCUUCCCGAGAGGGACGGGUAACCUGCUGAACCCCGUUCGUGGUAGGGAUCGGGGCUUGCAAUUAUUCCCCGUGAACCAGGAAUGCCCAGUAAGUGCAAGUCAUAAGCUUGCGUUGAUUACGUCCCUGCCCUUUGUACACACCGCCCGUCGCUACUACCGAUUGAACGUUUUAGUGAGGUACUCGGACUGAGCCUCAGAAGAUUCACGUCUUUUGUGCUGCUCGGGAAGAUUCCCAAACUUGAGCGUUUAGAGGAAGUAAAAGUCGUANCA
rnacentral:rRNA from 1 species